GGCGGCGUGCCUAAUACAUGCAAGUCGAACGAGUUCUCGUUGAUGAUCGGUGCUUGCACCGAGAUUCAACAUGGAACGAGUGGCGGACGGGUGAGUAACACGUGGGUAACCUGCCCUUAAGUGGGGGAUAACAUUUGGAAACAGAUGCUAAUACCGCAUAGAUCCAAGAACCGCAUGGUUCUUGGCUGAAAGAUGGCGUAAGCUAUCGCUUUUGGAUGGACCCGCGGCGUAUUAGCUAGUUGGUGAGGUAAUGGCUCACCAAGGCGAUGAUACGUAGCCGAACUGAGAGGUUGAUCGGCCACAUUGGGACUGAGACACGGCCCAAACUCCUACGGGAGGCAGCAGUAGGGAAUCUUCCACAAUGGACGCAAGUCUGAUGGAGCAACGCCGCGUGAGUGAAGAAGGCUUUCGGGUCGUAAAACUCUGUUGUUGGAGAAGAAUGGUCGGCAGAGUAACUGUUGUCGGCGUGACGGUAUCCAACCAGAAAGCCACGGCUAACUACGUGCCAGCAGCCGCGGUAAUACGUAGGUGGCAAGCGUUAUCCGGGAUUUAUUGGGCGUAAAGCGAGCGCAGGCGGUUUUUUAAGUCUGAUGUGAAAGCCCUCGGCUUAACCGAGGAAGCGCAUCGGAAACUGGGAAACUUGAGUGCAGAAGAGGACAGUGGAACUCCAUGUGUAGCGGUGAAAUGCGUAGAUAUAUGGAAGAACACCAGUGGCGAAGGCGGCUGUCUGGUCUGUAACUGACGCUGAGGCUCGAAAGCAUGGGUAGCGAACAGGAUUAGAUACCCUGGUAGUCCAUGCCGUAAACGAUGAAUGCUAGGUGUUGGAGGGUUUCCGCCCUUCAGUGCCGCAGCUAACGCAUUAAGCAUUCCGCCUGGGGAGUACGACCGCAAGGUUGAAACUCAAAGGAAUUGACGGGGGCCCGCACAAGCGGUGGAGCAUGUGGUUUAAUUCGAAGCAACGCGAAGAACCUUACCAGGUCUUGACAUCUUUUGAUCACCUGAGAGAUCAGGUUUCCCCUUCGGGGGCAAAAUGACAGGUGGUGCAUGGUUGUCGUCAGCUCGUGUCGUGAGAUGUUGGGUUAAGUCCCGCAACGAGCGCAACCCUUAUGACUAGUUGCCAGCAUUUAGUUGGGCACUCUAGUAAGACUGCCGGUGACAAACCGGAGGAAGGUGGGGAUGACGUCAAAUCAUCAUGCCCCUUAUGACCUGGGCUACACACGUGCUACAAUGGAUGGUACAACGAGUUGCGAGACCGCGAGGUCAAGCUAAUCUCUUAAAGCCAUUCUCAGUUCGGACUGUAGGCUGCAACUCGCCUACACGAAGUCGGAAUCGCUAGUAAUCGCGGAUCAGCACGCCGCGGUGAAUACGUUCCCGGGCCUUGUACACACCGCCCGUCACACCAUGAGAGUUUGUAACACCCGAAGCCGGUGGCGUAACCCUUUUAGGGAGCGAGCCGUCUAAGGUGGGACAAAUGAUUAGGGUGAA
rnacentral:rRNA from 2 species